rnacentral:rRNA from 1 species
AUUGAACGCUGGCGGCAGGCCUAACACAUGCAAGUCGAACGGUAACAGGAAACAGCUUGCUGUUUCGCUGACGAGUGGCGGACGGGUGAGUAAUGUCAGGGAAACUGCCUGAUGGAGGGGGAUAACUACUGGAAACGGUAGCUAAUACCGCAUAACGUCGCAAGACCAAAGAGGGGGACCUUCGGGCCUCUUGCCAUCGGAUGUGCCCAGAUGGGAUUAGCUAGUAGGUGGGGUAACGGCUCACCUAGGCGACGAUCCCUAGCUGGUCUGAGAGGAUGACCAGCCACACUGGAACUGAGCCACGGUCCAGACUCCUACGGGAGGCAGCAGUGGGGAAUAUUGCACAAUGGGCGCAAGCCUGAUGCAGCCAUGCCGCGUGUAUGAAGAAGGCCUUCGGGUUGUAAAGUACUUUCAGCGGGGAGGAAGGGAGUAAAGUUAAUACCUUUACUCAUUGACGUUACCCGCAGAAGAAGCACCGGCUAACUCCGUG